GAUGGACGCUGGCGGCGUGCCUAAUACAUGCAAGUCGAGCGAACAGGCGAGGAGCUUGCUCCUCUGACGUUAGCGGCGGACGGGUGAGUAACACGUGGAUAACCUACCUAUAAGACUGGGAUAACUUCGGGAAACCGGAGCUAAUACCGGAUAAUAUAUUGAACCGCAUGGUUCAAUAGUGAAAGACGGUUUUGCUGUCACUUAUAGAUGGAUCCGCGCCGCAUUAGCUAGUUGGUAAGGUAACGGCUUACCAAGGCAACGAUGCGUAGCCGACCUGAGAGGGUGAUCGGCCACACUGGAACUGAGACACGGUCCAGACUCCUACGGGAGGCAGCAGUAGGGAAUCUUCCGCAAUGGGCGAAAGCCUGACGGAGCAACGCCGCGUGAGUGAUGAAGGUCUUCGGAUCGUAAAACUCUGUUAUUAGGGAAGAACAAAUGUGUAAGUAACUAUGCACGUCUUGACGGUACCUAGUCAGAAAGCCACGGCUAACUACGUG
rnacentral:rRNA from 1 species